UACGGGGUGCAGCAGGCGCGAAACCUUUACACUGCACGACAGUGCGAUAGGGGGAUCCCAAGUGCACAGGCAUAGCGCCUGUGCUUUUCGGUACCCUAAGGCGGUACCAGAAUAAGGGCUGGGCAAGACCGGUGCCAGCCGCCGCGGUAAUACCGGCAGCCCAAGUGAUGGCCGAUCUUAUUGGGCCUAAAGCGUCCGUAGCUGGCCACGCAAGUCCAUCGGGAAAUCCACCUGCCCAACAGGUGGACGCCCGGUAGAAACUGCGUGGCUUGGGACCGGAAGGCGCGACGGGUACGUCCGGGGUAGGAGUGAAAUCCCGUAAUCCUGGACGGACCGCCGAUGGCGAAAGCACGUCGCGAGAACGGAUCCGACAGUGAGGGACGAAAGCCAGGGUCUCGAACCGGAUUAGAUACCCGGGUAGUCCUGGCCGUAAACAAUGUCUGCUAGGUGUGGCUCCCACUACGA
rnacentral:rRNA from 2 species